rnacentral:rRNA from 1 species
GUGCCAGCAGCCGCGGUAAUACGGAGGGGGUUAGCGUUGUUCGGAAUUACUGGGCGUAAAGCGCGCGUUGGCGGAUUAGAAAGUUGGGGGUGAAAUCCCGGGGCUCAACCCCGGAACUGCCUCCAAAACUGCUAGUCUAGAGUUCGAGAGAGGUGAGUGGAAUUCCGAGUGUAGAGGUGAAAUUCGUAGAUAUUCGGAGGAACACCAGUGGCGAAGGCGGCUCACUGGCUCGAUACUGACGCUGAGGUGCGAAAGUGUGGGGAGCAAACAGGAUUAGAUACCCUGGUAGUCCACACCGUAAACGAUGAAUGCCAGUCGUCGGAUAGUAUACUAUUCGGUGACACACCUAACGGAUUAAGCAUUCCGCCUGGGGAGUACGGUCGCAAGAUUAAAACUCAAA